rnacentral:lncRNA from 1 species
GCUCCUUUUCGAAAGCGAAAGGGGGGCGAGCGUCGGAGUGGGAAGGGCGCGGUGUCGUUUGGUAGAGUGUUUGCCUCCAGAGGUCGGUCGUGAGUCAGAGAAACAGGGACUUUGGAAGGAAAAGACCAGGCCACAGCCCUUCCGCGCCGCUGCCCGCCGAGUUCCGGUCUCCGUGGCCGCCCAUCCCGGCGGGGCGCCCCCUUGCCCGCCCGCGCCCCGGCGGCUCUGGAGGUGGAGGCCUGCGGCUCUGCAGUCCCGGGGACCCCUGUUCCCCGCCUCGCCUGCCUUCCGCUGGGAGUUCAUCCUGGAUGGAAUUCUUUUUAACAACUUUGAACAUUUCUGCAAAAUCUUAGUUGGUCAGUAUGCCAUCAUAUUUGCCAAGCAGCAUUUUUAAGGAAUACGCAGGCCGUUCCGGCCCCGUUAGAAGACCAGGGAUAUCGAGGAGACCGUAUCCGUGAGCUACGUAGACUAAUAAUCCAAAUAUAAAUCAGUAAGAAAAAAGCAACGCGAUUGAAAAAUGGACAAAGGCUAUGAACCGGCAAUUCACAGAACCAGGAAUACGGUUAACAACAACAACAACAACAACAAAAAACCACGUUAAAAUUUUCAACAUUACUAGUAGUCAAGAAAAUACAAAACAGUUAAGACGUUUAUUUUCACAAAAAAAAUACCAUCAGAUAAUUUUUUUUAAUGGUUCUUUAAAAAAAAACAUUUUAUUAUUUAUUCAUACAGAGAGAGAGAGAGAGAGGCAGAGACACAGGCAGAGGGAGAAGCAGGCUCCAUGCAAGGAGCCUGAUGUGGGCCUCGAUCUCGGGUCUUCGGGAUCACGCCCUGGGCUGGAGGCGGCGCUAGACCCACUGAGCCGCCAGGGCUGCCCCCAUCAGAUAAUUUAAAAGAGGGUUUUCAUAGAAUUCCAUGUUGAUUAGGAGUGUAAAUUGGUACACUUUUUCAUAGGCAUUUGGGCUGUGUUUACCACUAUUAAAGCGUCUGCAUUUUCUUUGAGGUGGGGAGGAGCUGACGGAAGUGGGUGGGGCCAGGGAGAAAUAGGCGUAGGGGGGCGGGGCGGGGGUAUUAGGCGUAGUGGGAGGGGCUGGCGUAAUGCGGGGAAAGAGAGGGGCUAAGGGAGCCUAGAGGGCGGGAUCCGUAGGACUGGAAGUGAUUUGGCAGCAAUAGGAUCAACCGGGAAGGGGACCAAGGCUUGGAGGGACCAAGAGGCACUUGAAAGGAUGGGGGCGGGAAGUGAGAACACUUGGCAGUGGGAGAAUUAAGAGGGAUUAGAAACAAUUGAAGAAAUUUGACGAGAGGGGGAUAGGCAGGGAUUAGGAAAGUAAAAUGGAAACACCUGGCUUUCAGUGAUUUGACCUAGAGCCAUUGGCAUUGCAACCCCUGCUAACAUGGAACAAGGUCCCUGUGGAAGAAUGAGGUUUGUUAGCAAACAGGAAACACUGACUUUCAGAGUGCUACCGACUGUGCCUUGCAGAGUUCUUUUAUUUCCUCUCGUCCUGGCUCGGUUACCACAUUGUAGCAACCUGCAAUCUUUAAAGACUCCUGAGUCUGAAACCUCUGGUGAUCAAUGGCUUGUAUCUUUCUCAUGUGAUUCUUAGGUACAACGUGGACAUUUCUGCUGCUUCAAGUAGAAGCUUACCUUGUCACUCCGGGAAAUGCCCUAAAUCCCGAGAGUGCAUGAAUGAUGGAUCUCUCUCUUACUAGAGUGCAAAUACGCAUAAAGGGGUGCAGAUCCCAAGACUCCUCCACUUCUGUCUUGGUUUGAGGCAAGCAUUCUUUGAGGAAAUAGAGGGCCCUGUGGUUACUGGCUUUCUCUGUGGUUCAUGCUGUUAUCCACACAGUGAAUCAUAGGGUACCCAGACAGCAAGAAUCAACAAAGGGAAAGGGCUGUAAAGGGCUGAUUUGUAUCCCUAAAAAUUCAUAUUUAAGAAUGUGAUUGUAUAUUAAAAAAAAAAAA